rnacentral:tRNA from 1 species
AACAAACUAUGCUCAGUCUGUAGAGCGUGAGACUCUUAAUCUCAGGGUCGUGGGUUUGAGUCUCGUGUUGGGCA